ACCCACUGAGUAGGGCCAGGGAUUGAACCCGCAACCCCAUGCUUCCUAGCCAGAUUCGUUAACCACUGCACCAUGAUGGGAACUCCCAGGAGGGGAUGGUUUUAACUUUUCAGUUUUCUUAAGGCCUCUUAUAGAAAAACUGUUUCUCUGCUCAUGAAACUUUAUUUUUUUUUUAUCCCAGAAGUUCCAGGGCUAGAGAUCAAACCUGAGCAACACCAGUGACAAUGCCAAAUCCUUACCUGCUGUGCCACCAGAGAACUCUAGCUCAUGACACUUCUGAUACCCAAUGUGUGGAAUUUUCUUCUCUAUACCAAUCAAUUUUCCAACUCUAGUUCAGACAUCAAUUGGGUGCUCUAUAAUUCAAUUCUGACACCAACCUCCUGGAUUUAGUCUCAGAUUCCUCAGUUUAGGGGCUCAGUCCCACAAGUUUGUCCUUAUUUUAGAUAUAAGCAGUGGGUUCCCCCAGGCACCCACACUUCUGUCCAAUGUGACUUCAAAGUCAGGGGUUCCCACAAGCCCCUUCCUUCCAGUUUUGAUAAUUUGCUAGAAUGGCUCUCAAAACUCAGAAAUAUUUACUUAUUUUUAUGGUUUUUAUUAUAAAGAAUACAAUUGAACAGACAAUAAAGAGGUACAUGGUGAGGUCUGUCCCUGUGCUGUUGGGGUGCACCACCCUCCUGGCACGUGGAUGUGUACCCCAACUCAGAAGCUCUCAGAACUUCAUAGUUCAGUACUUUUUACGGAGGCUUCAUCAUAUUGGCAUGAUCAAUUAUGAAUUUAAUUUCCAGCCGCUCUUUCCUCCCCAGAGGAUGGGGGCAGGUGAGGCUGAAAGUUCCAAGCUUCUAAUCAAGGCUUGGUUUUGCUGGUGACCAGCCCCAUCCUAAAGCUGUUUAGGAGCCCACCAGGAGUCAUCUCAUUAGAAUAGAAGACAUUCCUAUCACCCAGGAAUUUCCAAGGGAUUUAGGAGUUCUGUAUACUUGUAUUACUCAGGAAAUUACAAGGGUUUUGGGAGCUCUCUGUUAGGAACUGGGGGCAGAGACCAAAUAUGUAUUUCUUAUUAUGUCACAUCUUCACUAACAUAUCACUCCUAGAUCAAGAAAUCUGUCAUGAUGAGCUACGAUGAUGCAAAAUGUGGUUUACUUUGAUAUUUCAGAUGGUUCUACUGUCUUUAGGAUCCCAGUUUCUAUCCUAUGGAUAUCUUUUUUCAGUAAGGAGCUUUCUAAGAAUCUUCACUCUCUUCUCUAUGCCUUUGACACAUGCACAUGAAGGCUCUCUGGACCAAGCACCCUCCAGAAAGACCCUAACUUCUGUUCUCUCCAUCCAUAUGGACCACACAAUCAGACCCUGGCCAUUUCCAUUCAUCUCAAGACUGCAUUUUAGUGACUCAGUCUCCUGGGUCCCUGCAUCUUCCAACCAGGACCUUUUCCCUCCCAGGUGGAGACAUCAUAUGGGAGCCUGCAGCCUCACUUCCACCUGCUCCCCCAGCCCCCUUUCCCAUGCCGCAUCAGCAUCACCCAGUGUGUAUUUGCAGCAAUAGGAAAUGAUGGUGGUUCCUUCUGGCAGGAGCACAGAGAGAAAGCUGCUCUCAGGAAGGAGCAAGUGAUAGCUCUGCAGUUUUCAUGUGAGUGUUUUUCUUUGGAGAGAGGAGAUAGGCAGCUGGAAAGGGAGAGACUGGAAGGAAAGGAAAGAGGGAGGGGCAGGAGCCCAGGCUCCUUGCCAACCUGGGCAGGAGGAGGGGGGCAAACAGCUUUGUUUCAGGCAACAGGAGCAGCAGCAGCAAAACAAUUCCUGGAAAUUUAUUCUUUCUCCUUCCUCUCCCUUCCCCCUCUCCCCCACCCCCCCACAAAUAUGUAGACAAGACAUUGUAAUCAACAAUCAGAAAGGAAGGAAGGUACCAGGGAGGAGUUGUUGGGAGGCACAGAUAAAGGCAGGCAGUUUCCCAGGGUCAGGAGGGGGCCAAAGGCUUGUGCCUGGACCCUGGAGGAAGAGGCAUCUCAGGAAUCCCCCCACUUGCCCAGCCUGUGUGGCCAAAGACCUUACUUUGUGGGGCAGGUGGAUGGUGGACAGGUCAAGGCUGAGGAGUUUGGCAACAAUGGUACUUUCUUCCCCAGCCAGAAGGUCACAGAGUACAGAAGCCAAGUCCAACUUGAGAAGUCACUCUGCCAUCCUGCCAUGGCUUCCUCCCACCAGGGAGGCAGCUUUGUCUGCACAGGAGGACCAGAUCAGGGGCUCCCCAGGCUCCCCAAAGAUGGAUGUAGCGCAGUGACCCCAUCCUUGCUCUGCUCAGAUCUUCCCUGCUCCCUCAUUCCUCUCAGAGACAUUACUUUACCUUUCUGAGCCUCACUUUUUUUAUAUUGUAAAAUGAGGAUAAUGGUGCUUCCUUGCAGGGUUAUAGUAUGGGAUACAUGGCAUCAUAUAUGCAAAGCACUUGACGUAAGCAUAUCCCUUUUCCCACUUCUUGUGGAUGAGGAGGGAGAACUCCCUUCUUGUGGAAUUGAUCUUAGUCCCACCUACACUAGUCUUGUUUUUUUUGCUUUUCUCUCUGUCUCUCUCUGAAAUGGAUCAACACCAGCUUCCUCUUUUAUUUAGUUGUCUGAUGUUGUGUUUCUUACAUGGAAGAUGAAGAACCCCAAACACCAUUAUGAAUCACCAGAGAAAGAUGUAAAUUUAUAUCUUUCUCCUUUCUUUCCCUAUCCCCUCUUAAAAAAAACAAAUAAACAAACAAACAAAAAAAACACACAAAAACCCAGUGAAAGUAACAGCUGGCAGUUACUGAGCACACACCAUUUGCCCGCCUGAUUGCAGUGUAUAUCCAGGUAUCACCUCAUUUAAUCCUCAUAGAAACUUAACUAAGUGGGUUCUAUUGUAGACAGGGAAACUGAGGCAUGGAGAGGUUAAACAACUUGCCUACUGCUAGUAGUUCAGUAAACUCUUAUUACAGAAAUUAUUGAGCUGGAUGCUGAUGCCUGAUGGCUUUAGGUGGUCUGUGAACUCACAGACAAAUAUAUACAAAAUCCUUGGAGUUCCCGCUGUGGCUCAGUGGUUAUGAAUUGACUAGUACCUAUGAAAAUGCAGAUUCAAUCCCUGGCCCUGGACAGUGGUUAAGGAUCUGGUGUUGCCGUGAGCCGUGGUGUAGGUUUCAGAUACCACUCAGAUCUGGUGUGGCUGUGGCUGUGGUGCAGGGUGGCAGCUGUGGCUCCGAUUUGGCCCCAAGCCUGGGAACUUGCCUAUGCCAUGGGUG
rnacentral:lncRNA from 1 species